rnacentral:lncRNA from 11 species
CAACAACAACAACAACAACAACAACAACAAGAGAGGAAUUUCCAAUAGCUUGUUUAAAAGGUUCCUGGCACUUCUGCUUACUGUUUGAACUCCAGCUGUCCUUUCCCCCUCUCUGAAUUUGAACAUUCUGUUUUAUUCUUCCUGGCUGUAUUCAUCCUCCAAAACACACAGAGAAAUAGACACACUUGGACUACAAAACCAGCAUCCCAGCUAGACAUUCCCCAUUUGUCAGCUUGCAUGGAAAUGCAGCCACCCUUCAGCCAGUACUGACAAUACCGUUUCCUUCCGAAGAUUAUGACUACCCAGAGUAAUAAAAAACUCUCUGGCAAUUAAAACAAACUAAGUUGAAACAACCAGCCAUAUACAAAUACAA